rnacentral:misc_RNA from 1 species
CAAUUUAAUCAAUAAUUAAUUAACCGAAUUAAUAAUCAAACAUUUACUGAAAUAACUAAAAUUCAUUAAUUCGGCUCGGAUAUUUGAUUAUAACUGAAACCUUAUGAGCAGGUUCUGUAGGAGGCACUAAACCUUCAUAUAAUAGCUCAUUGAUCACCACAGGCUGCUCUCAAUCGUUGGCUAUGUUUGGUUAACUCGAUAAAGUUAUUGUAUUUCAAUAGUGUUACCAAAUCGAAGCUUUCUUGGAUCAUAUUCUCUAGAGAAAUAAUUGGUAAACACAACUCAGACAUUGAUGUUAAUGGUAUCAUCUUAUGAGCAUCAAUCCAACAACAGUAACUAUAACAGUAGAGGGAAUUCCAAAUUGAAGAUGCUUCCAGAAAGUUAAGUUGUACCCAAAUUGCGGAGCUCUUCGAGCUUGCUCACACACUAUCAAGUUGGCAGCUGAUCCCAAUAGCGAUAGGUUCCCUGCUACAGUACUGACCCAGGCUAAAAUUAGCCAUGCCUUCUUCUCAUCGGCUGCAGAAAUUGCAGCUGCUGAUGCUGCUACCCGUCCUCCAAGCAACAGAACUGAGAUGAUAUAAACAGGCAGAAUCAAAGCUAAGAAAAAGCUAGACAAUGUGUCACAGAAUUCAUAAAUGCUUGUUAUGAUGGUUUGUAACAAGUUAUACAUUUCAAUACCCAAGUAGAACAUAGCAAAUGCAUCAUAGACCCCUGAUGCUGAAACGUUUUAGAUUAAAUUCACAAUUAUAGUUACAAAGUUUGAUAACGAAAACCCAAACCAGGAUUUGUUUUCUUUAUUCCAAAAGACAUUUGAGUUCAACAUACCAGUUGGUACAUUUGAGGCCAAAUUUGACAGGACAAGUAUGACAAUAGCAAGAACUGCCAUCCCAGAAGCAUCAUCUACUUUUGCAUGAGGCUCCAUUAAGUCCCACAGAGCACUUGGAAUUCCAGUUUUGUUAAAGCCAUCAACAGUGAUAAACAUUCCACAAAAGAAAAUUAAAAGCGAAUAGGAGACCUUUUCAAGGCAUGGCCGAGCAUCCUUAAAAUCGAGAACAACAAGAGCAAGUGCAGCAGUAAUUGCAGUCCAUGACAUAUUCAGACCCAUGAGCAAAGAAAUCAGCAUACCUAUGGUAACAAGGUACACACAUGAUUUCCAUAAUAUCCUUUUCCAUUUUGCAACAAAGUAUUCUUUUUCUCCCGGCAAUUGCUCAUCAAACACAUCUCUCAACCUAUCCAUUGAUGCAAUCCUCUUUGAAGGAACAGUAUCCUCCUUUCUCUGAGAAGACCCAUCAACUGUUAUAUCUUUGGAUGCAUUGGAAUUCCUUGCAGACUCAUAUGCACUCGUAGAUGCACUACAGAUUUCAUUCUCAGUUGCAACUAUUCGGUUUCUAAGAGUCUCAGCAUGGUUCAUGUGCCCAUUCGUGCUGAGGGAGCUUUGCAUGUCCAAGGACUCCAACCUAGAGCUCCACUCCUGGGAAUUUAAUGACGUAAAAUGUGACAUAGUAGCAGGAGAAAACCGAUGAGAAUUGAAAUCCUCAUCUGCAACAACUUCUGUGGUGGCUUCUUCUUCAUCCUUCUGAGUAGUGGAUAACAACCUCCAGUACAUACACAUAAGAAUUAUAAUAUUCACAAUGAUUCCCACAAGCAUUGCAGGGAGAAUUCCAAAAAGGAAAUUCCCGAAAGAAAUCUUACUCUGAACUGCUAUAACCAGGUUUUGAGGGUUGCCAAUUGGAGUGGCUGAAGAUCCAAUAUUUGCACUUGAGGCAAGCGCAAGUAGGAAUGGAUGAGAAGGGAGAUUAUGUUGCCUUGCAAUUUUCAAUACAAAUUCAGUCAAAACCACACAAGAGGUGUCAUUAGUAAAAAGAGCGCUUGAAAUGGCAGAAAUCAGGCAAAUUCUGCAAAGUAAGUCCUUGGCACCCCUGCUUUUCCACGAAAGCAACUUACCCAAGUAUUUGAACAGAUCUGCUCUCUCAAGAUAAAUACUGACAACCAUCGUUCCAAAUAGAAGACCAAGGAUUGGAAGAUCAAUCGCAGCAUAUGCUUGAUCUGGGGUUAUGACUUGGAAGAUGACCAUAAGCAUAGCCCCCAAGAGGGACCCAGCAGUCCUUCCAACAGGUAGAAAUGGUAUAGCAGGGAAAACUGCUAGUAUCCAGAAGACUGCGAAGGCAAUUGAACCUAGAAAUACUUUCACAUAAGAAGCCAUAGCCAUUUUUUCGCUUAAUUUCUUAUUCUUAGAUAGGAUGAUUGAAAUAUUAUCCAACAGAACUCCAUUUUUGAAGACAAAACAUUUUCUAGCCAAUUCAAUAUAACCACUUCAAGAUUCAGUCCUGAAAAUGCCAAAAUAAAACUUUAAGUUUCGGAACUCAAAAGGGUCCGAAGAAUAUUCAGUACACAGUAAUCAAGCAGCUGGACUGCAAUCAGUACUCAGUCCACAAACAACAGACGCUAAAAGACUAGCCCAUAUAGCAAAUUUCUCUGCAGGUCAAAAGGUUAACUGACAAGAAACAACGAAUUAACAUUCCAAAAUUAACAAUGAAAUAAUAAGACCAACUAGUGAUACUAGUAUCCACGUUCUUUUAUACAUUUUCUUAAAAACAUUGGAUUCAAUCGGCUUGCAAGUUCUAGCCACUAAUGCUUAAUAAAUAAAUAAGAUUAGCACUUUCCAUGUAUUUCCAGUGGAGAAUGAAAAACAAAAUUCAGAAAUGAUGUGCAGAAUCGAAAUAAAGGUUAAAGCAUACAUAAGAGGUGCAAAGACAUACAAUCGCGUAAGGCAUCAUUAUCGAAUUACAUGUUUAAAGCCCACCAGAAACCUCGUACAGAAGCUAUUUGCUUUUACUCUAAAUCUAAAGCCAAAUGCAAUGAAAAAUAACUCACCUGAGCAGCGAGUUUUUAAGCUUCAACUUGAGGAGCGAAGGGGAAGUUGGGACUGUUAAAAUAGCCGAGCACCAAAGGGGAAACGAGAAAAAGAAACAGAGGCCGAUGGGUGGAUUGGAUAAGUUCGC